rnacentral:tRNA from 1 species
GCCACCAUAGCUCAGCCUGGCAGAGCGGCUGACUUGUAAUCAGCAGGUCGGGAGUUCAACUCUCCCUGGUGGCUCCA